GGGGAAUAUUGCACAAUGGGCGAAAGCCUGAUGCAGCAACGCCGCGUGAGUGAUGACGGUCUUCGGAUUGUAAAGCUCUGUCUUUUGGGACGAUAAUGACGGUACCAAAGGAGGAAGCCACGGCUAACUACGUGCCAGCAGCCGCGGUAAUACGUAGGUGGCAAGCGUUGUCCGGAUUUACUGGGCGUAAAGGGAGCGUAGGUGGAUAUUUAAGUGGGAUGUGAAAUACUCGGGCUUAACCUGGGUGCUGCAUUCCAAACUGGAUAUCUAGAGUGCAGGAGAGGAAAGCGGAAUUCCUAGUGUAGCGGUGAAAUGCGUAGAGAUUAGGAAGAACAUCAGUGGCGAAGGCGGCUUUCUGGACUGUAACUGACGCUGAGGCAUGAAAGCGUGGGGAGCAAAC
rnacentral:rRNA from 1 species